AGGGGAUGAGCAGAGAAGAAUCUCUUGUCCCCAGCAGCGGCCGGGAGGAGCGGUGUCCCCUCCCCUGGGGACGCAUCGCCCCCCGGAUUGUCACGGCGCAGAGGACCGCGAGCGUCCUGCGCCCCAGCACGUGUCCACCACGAGUUGAUGUCCUUGUCCCCAUGUCACUGCCCAGCCACCAGCGAGGGAUGGGGCUCACUGAGGGUGUCCCCGGUUCCGAGAGCCCCCGCAGAGCCGUGGUGGCAUCAGGCAGCUCUGGUGGCAUCGCGCUGCAGAACGCCCCAGCAGAGGGAACAGUGCGGCACCCUCGCCCCCUGUGCCCCCGUUGUGCCCCCAGCCCCACUCUCCGGCAUCAUGCAGCCGGCUGCCACCUCCCUGCUGCCCCUCACCAUGACCCUACAGAAGGGACACAGCCCCCUCCAGCAUCCCCUCGGGGUCCUGGCCCCAUCCAGACUCAGUCUCUCAAAACUCAGCCAAAAUCAGGAGGGGAUUUCGGCGCAUCCCCGCGACCUGAGGGACCGCAGCCCUCCAACGGCCCUGCGGGUUCAGCAAUGCCCAAAAACCCCUCACAGGACCACCCCUCAACGAACCAGGACAAAAACCACGCAGGCAUUUCUAACGGGAGCGGGCAAUUAGCCACGGGAACAGCCCAGGCCCUUCGAUCACAAGCAGAGGCUACGGGCUCACUGCGGAGCUCCUCUUCCUCCUGCCCCAAGCAGCGGCUUCCCCAGGGGCGCAGCACCAAGCCCGGCACCCCCAGCACCUCCACGGCCCCCGGGCAGCCCGAGCACCCCGGGGGCUCUUCCAGCUUUCCCUGGUGCCUCGCGAUGUCCCUGGAGAAGGCGGAGGCAGCUGCCGUGGUGCCCGGCUCCAAGUACAAAGCAGCGCGGCGUUUCUCACGGCAGCUGGAGGAGCGAGGGGCUUGGCCGCUCCGGCGGGGAAGAAAGGGAAUUUUUUUUUUUUUUUUUUUUUAUUGUUGGUGGUGUUCAAAAAGAAGAGUUUGCCUGGCAGAGCGAGGAGCCGGUUCGGCAGCACGGGGGCUCAGGUGGAGCUGGAAAUGGUUGCCUUGUCUGCGGGAGGAGAAGCGGCUUCGCCUUACCCAGCCUCUGCGAGCCAGCAGAGCAACCGC
rnacentral:lncRNA from 1 species